UACAGAGGUGUCAAGCGUUAUCCGGAUUUAUUGGGCGUAAAGGAUGAGUAGGUGGUUCUGAAAGUCUGUAAUGAAAUGCUGUUGCUUAACGACAGUCUGUUACAGAAACUACAGAGCUAGAGACAAGGAGAGGUAAGCGGAAUUCCAUGUGUAGCGGUAAAAUGCGUAGAUAUAUGGAGGAACACCAGUGGCGAAGGCGGCUUACUGGCCUUGAUCUGACACUGAAUCAUGAAAGCGUGGGGAGCAAAUAGGAUUAGAUACCCUAGUAGUCCACGCCGUAAACGUUGAGUACUAAGUGUUGGCGCAAGCCAGUGCUGAAAUUAACAUAUUAAGUACUCCGCCUGAGUAGUACGAUCGCAAGAUUGAA
rnacentral:rRNA from 1 species